rnacentral:rRNA from 1 species
UACGGAGGGGGCUAGCGGUGUUCGGAAUUACUGGGCGUAAAGAGCGCGUAGGCGGCUUAUCAAGUUGGGUGUGAAAGCCCGGAGCUCAACUCCGGAACUGCCUUCAAAACUGAGAGGCUUGAGUCCGGGAGAGGGGCGUGGAAUUCCCAGUGUAGAGGUGAAAUUCGUAGAUAUUGGGAAGAACACCGGUGGCGAAGGCGGCGUCCUGGUCCGGUACUGACGCUGAGGCGCGAAAGCGUGGGGAGCAAACAGG